rnacentral:tRNA from 1 species
GUGGGUUGUGUCUCAGUGGUAGAGCGCUUGCCUAGUAUGUGUGAGGAACUGGGUUCAAUCCCCAGUACCACA